rnacentral:rRNA from 1 species
CAGUAGCCGCGGUAAUACAGAGGGUGCAAGCGUUAAUCGGAAUUACUGGGCGUAAAGCGCGCGUAGGUGGUUUGUUAAGUUGGAUGUGAAAGCCCCGGGCUCAACCUGGGGACUGCAUCCAAAACUGGCAAGCUAGAGUACGGUAGAGGGUGGUGGAAUUUCCUGUGUAGCGGUGAAAUGCGUAGAUAUAGGAAGGAACACCAGUGGCGAAGGCGACCACCUGGACUGAUACUGACACUGAGGUGCGAAAGCGUGGGGAGCAAACAGGAUUAGAUACCCCAGUAGUCCCUGUCUCUUAUAC